AUUGAACGCUGGCGGCAGGCCUAGCACAUGCAAGUCGAACGGUAACAGGAAGAAGCUUGCUUCUUUGCUGACGAGUGGCGGACGGGUGAGUAAUGUCUGGGAAACUGCCUGAUGGAGGGGGAUAACUACUGGAAACGGUGGCUAAUACCGCAUAACGUCGCAAGACCAAAGAGGGGGACCUUCGGGCCUCUUGCCAUCGGAUGUGCCCAGAUGGGAUUAGCUAGUUGGUGGGGUAACGGCUCACCAAGGCGACGAUCCCUAGCUGGUCUGAGAGGAUGACCAGCCACACUGGAACUGAGACACGGUCCAGACUCCUACGGGAGUCAGCAGUGGGGAAUAUUGCACAAUGGGCGCAAGCCUGAUGCAGCCAUGCCGCGUGUAUGAAGAAGGCCUUCGGGUUGUAAAGUACUUUCAGCGGGGAGGAAGGGAGUAAAGUUAAUACCUUUGCUCAUUGACGUUACCCGCAGAAGAAGCACCGGCUAACUCCGUGCCAGCCGCCGCGGUAA
rnacentral:rRNA from 1 species